rnacentral:rRNA from 1 species
UACGUAGGGUGCAAGCGUUGUCCGGAAUUAUUGGGCGUAAAGAGCUCGUAGGCGGUGUGUCACGUCGGCCGUGAAAACCUGCAGCUUAACUGUGGGCGUGCGGUCGAUACGGGCAUCACUGGAGUUCGGCAGGGGAGACUGGAAUUCCUGGUGUAGCGGUGAAAUGCGCAGAUAUCAGGAGGAACACCGGUGGCGAAGGCGGGUCUCUGGGCCGGUACUGACGCUGAGGAGCGAAAGCGUGGGGAGCAAACAGG